rnacentral:rRNA from 1 species
AUUGAACGCUGGCGGAAUGCUUUACACAUGCAAGUCGAACGGUAGAGGGGGCAACCCCUUGAGAGUGGCGAACGGGUGAGUAAUAUAUCGGAACGUGCCCAGUCGUGGGGAUAACGUAGCGAAAGUUACGCUAAUACCGCAUACGAUCUAUGGAUGAAAGCGGGGGAUCGCAAGACCUCGCGCGAUUGGAGCGGCCGAUAUCAGAUUAGGUAGUUGGUGAGGUAAAGGCUCACCAAGCCAACGAUCUGUAGCUGGUCUGAGAGGACGACCAGCCACACUGGAACUGAGACACGGUCCAGACUCCUACGGGAGGCAGCAGUGGGGAAUUUUGGACAAUGGACGCAAGUCUGAUCCAGCCAUUCCGCGUGCAGGAUGAAGGCCCUCGGGUUGUAAACUGCUUUUAUACGGAACGAAACGGUGAGCUCUAAUACAGUUUGCUAAUGACGGUACCGUAAGAAUAAGCACCGGCUAACUACGUGCCAGCAGCCGCGGUAA